CCUUUCUAAUAGCUACAUAAUGAAUAAGUAGGGAGAGAGAGAGAGGUUUCCAUCUUCUCUCAAGGAGGAAAGGAAGAGGACUGAUUCAACUCAGGAAGUACAUGAGGAGUCAAGGCAGGGGUCCAGAGAAGAGGCAAUCAUGAACAGAUUGUGAGAGCCUCUGGAACACGGAACUAUUAUAUGUACUUCAUUCUUUACAAUGGACAGCUUCUCACGAUUGACUGCAAGUCGAUAAACCAGAAACAUGUCAGUAAAAUAUCAGGAUACAAGAGCGCACCUUCCAAGCAAGUGCAGUGUCUGAAGUCACCCAAGUCUAAUUCCUAUGCCCCAUUACUGAGAUCAUUCUAUUGACUUUGUCAAACCAAUUUCAAACUUUAGUGCCUGUAGAAUCUCGGAAAAAAUGGAGCGGGAACCAGAUUUGGGCAGCUUCAGACUCCCACCCACUGGGAGCAUGCACUAAUAAUUUCCCAGCUUACUGACUUAUGGCAGAUCAUGUGAAGCCACCCCAUGUAAACUGCUUUGUGAACUUAAUGGUUUAUGUAGUGACUGUGUGUUUAUAGUAGCAUUACUUGAGUGUAAAUUUUGACAAAUACUCAUGUAUAUAGUUGAUGAAUCAGUUAUUGUAACAGAGAGCAGAUAUAAAAGGAGAUGACUGUGUAUGCAAGCUGAUUGCCUAGUGACUCAGACAAAUAAAAGUGUUUUGAAUCCUG